AACGCAAAUUGCACUCUUUUCGGAGAGUAUGCCUGUUUGAGGGUCAGUAUUAAUAAAAAAUCGGUAUGUUGCUUUUUUUGUGACGUUCCGGAGAUGAGUUAUCUUAAUUUUUUUAGGUUAAGAGGCUUAAAAUUGACAUCUUUUUGCGCAUUUUUUAGACGUACAUAAAUUUUUUUUUAUUCGUUUAUCCUAAUGCCAAAAUCUAUUAGAUGCGAUCAUAUCAUGUGGUUCCGUAUCUAUAAAUAUUUUCGUGAUUUGACCUCAAAUCAGGUAGGAGCACCCGCUGAACUUAA
rnacentral:misc_RNA from 1 species